rnacentral:rRNA from 1 species
GACGAACGCUGGCGGCGUGCUUAACACAUGCAAGUCGAACGAAGAGCGAUGGAAGCUUGCUUCUAUCAAUCUUAGUGGCGAACGGGUGAGUAACGCGUAAUCAACCUGCCCUUCAGAGGGGGACAACAGUUGGAAACGACUGCUAAUACCGCAUACGAUCUAAUCUCGGCAUCGAGGAUAGAUGAAAGGUGGCCUCUACAUGUAAGCUAUCACUGAAGGAGGGGAUUGCGUCUGAUUAGCUAGUUGGAGGGGUAACGGCCCACCAAGGCGAUGAUCAGUAGCCGGUCUGAGAGGAUGAACGGCCACAUUGGGACUGAGACACGGCCCAGACUCCUACGGGAGGCAGCAGUGGGGAAUCUUCCGCAAUGGACGAAAGUCUGACGGAGCAACGCCGCGGGAGCGAUGACGGCCUUCGGGUUGUAAAGCUCGGUUAAUCGGGACGAAAGGCCUUCUUGCGAAUAGUGAGAAGGAUUGACGGUACCGGAAUAGAAAGCCACGGCUAACUACGUG